UACAGAGGUGGCAAGCGUUGUUCGGAAUUACUGGGCGUAAAGGGCGCGUAGGCGGCCAUCUAAGUCAGACGUGAAAUCCCCCGGCUUAACCUGGGAACUGCGUCUGAUACUGGAAGGCUUGAGUAUGGGGGAGGGAUGUAGAAUUCCAGGUGUAGCGGUGAAAUGCGUAGAUAUUCGCAAGAACACCAGUGGCGAAGGCGGCUCACUGGCCCGGUACUGACGCUGAGGUGCGAAAGCGUGGGGAGCAAACAGG
rnacentral:rRNA from 1 species